UGUGUUUGAGAGCUCAAGUUCAAACACCCCCAAUCUUAUCUGAUCUCGGAAGCUAAGCAGGGUCGGGCCUGGUUAGUACUUGGAUAAGAGAGUUCAAGUUCUUUACGUAU
rnacentral:rRNA from 1 species